rnacentral:rRNA from 1 species
CCCCUCGUUCAACCUCACCACCCCUAGCCUAGCCCGCCUAUAUACCGCCGUCGUCAGCUUACCCUUGUGAAGGCACCAUAGUAAGCAAAAAGGGCACAACCCAAAACGUCAGGUCGAGGUGUAGCGCAUGAGGUGGGAAGAAAUGGGCUACAUUCUCUUUUUUAGAGAACACGAAGGCCGUGAUGCAACUCACACCAGAAGGCGGAUUUAGCAGUAAGAAGGAAAAAUGAGCGUUCUUCUGAAGCCGGCUAUGAAGCGCGCACACACCGCCCGUCACCCUCA